rnacentral:lncRNA from 1 species
GAGCAAGUACCAUUUUAUGAAUAAAGCACCAUUGAAGUCAUUGCUAUUCCUUGAAGCCAAAAAAGUGUCAGUAAAACCCAGUCAGAAUUACCAUCUUCUGAACUCCAUGCGAGAAAACUCCAUUACUCCCAGAUACUGUUGGAUCUUCCACCAGAUUUACUCUGUGGCCCUCCGAGACUUCGUGUAACAGCAACUGCAUUUUAAUGCAAUGGCAGCUAUGGAAAACACAAAACUAUCAGUCAUUGUCAAAUACUCCAUAAAUGGAGACAGAGAAGGGGUUCAGUUCUCUGUGUAACAAGGACAGAGGAGAAAGGCAUCUGCAGUGUCAAAUCUACAGAGACAAGUGCACCUGGAGACAAAUGACCAGACUACCAUAAAACAGAAGCUUAAUUAUGUUCACUUACAUUUUCAAAUUAUUCCCAACAAAUUACCCUGUUUUUCCAGGCAGAAGAAGCAGAGUGAAGAGAGGACAUUCCAAAUAAAAUGAAUGCUGAUCCUGCAUUGAGUGCAAGCAAAAAACUGUCAAGUUUUCCCUGGAUCUUUGGGCUUUCAUUUCUGAAGUCUCCUGUGUCACGUAAAACUUUGUUAAAUAAAUUUGUUAUGCUUUUAAAAAAAAAAAAAAA